rnacentral:rRNA from 1 species
GAUGAACGCUGGCGGCGUACCUAAUACAUGCAAGUCGAGCGAACAGACGAGGAGCUUGCUCCUCUGACGUUAGCGGCGGACGGGUGAGUAACACGUGGAUAACCUACCUAUAAGACUGGGAUAACUUCGGGAAACCGGAGCUAAUACCGGAUAAUAUAUUGAACCGCAUGGUUCAAUAGUGAAAGACGGUUUUGCUGUCACUUAUAGAUGGAUCCGCGCCGCAUUAGCUAGUUGGUAAGGUAACGGCUUACCAAGGCAAUGAUGCGUAGCCGACCUGAGAGGGUGAUCGGCCACACUGGAACUGAGACACGGUCCAGACUCCUACGGGAGGCAGCAGUAGGGAAUCUUCCGCAAUGGGCGAAAGCCUGACGGAGCAACGCCGCGUGAGUGAUGAAGGUCUUCGGAUCGUAAAACUCUGUUAUUAGGGAAGAACAAAUGUGUAAGUAACUAUGCACGUCUUGACGGUACCUAAUCAGAAAGCCACGGCUAACUACGUG